rnacentral:rRNA from 1 species
AUACGUAGGGGGCGAGCGUUGUCCGGAAUGAUUGGGCGUAAAGGGCGCGUAGGCGGCUUUGCAAGUCAGUAGUGGAAGUCCAUUUUUCAAGGAUGGAAGUGCUACAGAAACUGCGGAGCUUGAGUGCAGGAGAGGUUAUCGGAAUUCCCGGUGUAGCGGUGAAAUGCGUAGAGAUCGGGAGGAACACCAGUGGCGAAGGCGGGUAACUGGACUGCAACUGACGCUGAGGCGCGAAAGUGUGGGGAGCAAACAGGAUUAGAUACCCUGGUAGUCCACACUGUAAACGAUGAAUGCUAGGUGUAGGAGGUAUCGACCCCUUCUAUGCCGCAGUAAACACAGUAAGCAUUCCGCCUGGGGAGUACGGUCGCAAGAUUAAAACUCAAAUGAAUUGACGGGG